rnacentral:rRNA from 1 species
UCCGUAGGUGAACCUGCGGAGGGAUCAUUACACAAUACAAUAUGAAGGCUGUCCGCAGCUGGAGUAUUUUAUUACCCUUGUCUUUUGCGCACUUGUAGUUUCCUGGGCGGGUUCGCUCGCCACCAGGACCACCAAAUAAACCUUUUUUAUGCAGUUGCAAUCAGCGUCAGUACAAACAAUGUAAAUCAUUUACAACUUUCAACAACGGAUCUCUUGGUUCUGGCAUCGAUGAAGAACGCAGCGAAAUGCGAUACGUAGUGUGAAUUGCAGAAUUCAGUGAAUCAUCGAAUCUUUGAACGCACAUUGCGCCCUUUGGUAUUCCAAAGGGCAUGCCUGUUCGAGCGUCAUUUGUACCCUCAAGCUUUGCUUGGUGUUGGGCGUUUUUGUCUUUGGUCGCCCAAAGACUCGCCUUAAAGUGAUUGGCAGCGGGCCUUUCUGGUUUCGCAGCGCAGCACAUUUUUGCGCUUGCCAUCAGCAAAACGGCAAUCCAUCAAGCCUCCUUCUCACGUUUGACCUCGGAUCAGGUAGGGAUACCCGCUGAACUUAAGCAUAUCAAUAAGCGGAGGAA